CUCUCUCCAUACCCAUUUUGACCAGCCAUGAUUUCAUCAUGAAAACAUGUAAUUUAACCAUGGAAAUUAAGGGAAAAUGCAUGGGUAAGGUAAAUCACUAGCAAAAUCAAAGAAAUUUUACCUUUGCUUGAUCAAAUCCUUGAAUUCCAACACUUUCUCUUUGAUUUUUCCCACCUAGGGUUUGUUCUUCCUUGGUUUCUCUUCUCUUCUGGUUUGGCUGAUCACUAUGGGAGAAAUGGGCUAAUUUUUUACCAUUUUAUAAAGAAAUAAUAAAAAAAUAAAAAUAUGACACAUGGCAUUUCCUUAUUGGUUCAAGUUUUAAAUAUUUGACUUUUAAUUCUUUAAUUUUCCACCACAUAUUUCUCAUGUUUCUCCUUUUCCAUGAUGAAUAAAAUCCCUUUGUCUUGACAAGUGUCGGGGGUGAAAAUUUACCGAUUUACCCCUGGGGUGGCAAAAUUACCAUUUCACCCCUAUAUUCUAAAUUAUACCGAAAUUAAAAUUUGUCACUUCUAAACUUCAAAUCAUACUCCAAUACUCCAAUCAUACUCCAAUAAGUCAAAUGGGGCCAAAAAAAAUCUUUUCUAAAAAUUCCCAUUUUGUCCUCAAGUGGCAAAUGACCAUUUUGCCCUUAGAUAAUGAAAAUUUCGGUUUGACUCCAAAUUGAUCCUUGAAGUCCGAAUUACCAUUUUGAGUUAUCCCUAAAUUGUGAAACUCUUAAUUUCACCUUAAAAUUCCUAUUUGAACUAGUUCGAGCUUAAUCGACUUAAUGGUACCAUUAGGGGCAAUAUCAUCUUUUAACGAUUCCCCAAACUUCCUAAAUAUGCAAACAUUCUAUUGAGCAUUUAAAUGACGUCGUAAUUAUUUUAUAGAAUAGGGUUUGACAACAUUACCCCCCUUAAAAUAAAAUUGUCCUCAAAAUUUCACUUAUCAAACUCAAAUAAAAUGUGGGGCAUUUUCUUCCAUUAUUUUCACAUACUUCCUGUUUAUCUCACAAGUAUAAAAUAUCAAUCUUCUUAAUCAUAUUAAUCCAUCUCGUACAGCUUGACCAUGCUAUAGAUCAUAUUUCCUUGAUAUUAUCUCCUUGACUAUUUUUCAGAGUCUCUUAUGUUCACGUAGUUCAAUUUCUGAUAAAAUUUCUUAUCAUUGUACUACAUACAUCACUCAUCAUAUAUUAAGUUUGAAUCUUAAUUCACUAAAAAUCAUUCUUCAUUUUAGUUGAUCACAACAUCAACCCCACAUAUGUGCAUAUGCUUUAUAAUCCUAUUUAUGUUUCCAAGAUCUACCUUGAUUUGAUCAUUGAAUGCGAUGCAAUAUCACAAUUCCUCAGAGUCAUCCCUUUGUCCUCAAUCAUCUUUCAUGCCUCUAUAUUGCUUUGUAUCCCAUCCUCAUACUUAUGUGACAUGCCAGUCAUGAGUCUAACUUGACUAUAUAGCCAUUUGCUCCUUAAGCUUUAAUGUUUUCUCAUUGCGAAAAUUCUUUUGAAUUUAUCACAUCAGAGUAUUCAUAAGGUGGAUACAUAUCCAUAUUUUAUAGUUCAAGGUCUAACGCAGCGAACAUUGUCUCAUCAUUAAAGUUCUACCCUUAUCUAUUGAUCAUAGCUCCCUUACACAUUUACUAUACUUUCCUGGGUUACUUACAAGUCACUCAUGGCCAUCCAACUUUUAACCUCUUAUAGUAAGUCAAACUAAUAUAUUCUCUUAUACUUUUCCAUACGCUUCCUUAAUAAAGUUCCACUCUUUCAUACGAAUAUAACAUCAUUCUUCCUUAACCAAUUUACAAAUUGUACUUGAAAUUGCAAGACUUAAAACUAGAUUCUCCUCAAGUACUUUUCAAUAUNUUGUCUCAUCAUUAAAGUUCUACCCUUAUCUAUUGAUCAUAGCUCCCUUACACAUUUACUAUACUUUCCUGGGUUACUUACAAGUCACUCAUGGCCAUCCAACUUUUGCCCUCUUAUAGUAAGUCAAACUAAUAUAUUCUCUUAUACUUUUCCAUACGCUUCCUUAAUAAAGUUCCACUCUUUCAUACGAAUAUAACAUCAUUCUUCCUUAACCAAUUUACAAAUUGUACUUGAAAUUGCAAGACUUAAAACUAGAUUCUCCUCAAGUACUUUUCAAUAUUAAUACUAAUAUCACUCUCAGCUUAUAGCUUCCUUUUUAUAAUCACACAACUUAGUGCUUGCUUUUACAAGAUCCACGACAGAACUUCUCUUGAGUAUUUCCUUAGGGAUAUCUAUCUUAAACUUAUGUCUCACAACAUGUGAUCACGUAACCCGUAACUUAGCCAUUUAUGUGGCAUUCUCUUCGGGGCCCACCCAUGUGGCCUCCCCAUCUGAGGCCCACUCCAAGGUAUUGUUAUAUCUGUAUCGAUCCCUUUGGCUUCCCAAUCCUGCAGGACCGCAUACACCAAGUAUCGAACCCCAGACCUUUUACUUCCCCCGAAGGGAACGCUUUUAACCAUUUCAGCUUUAACUCAUUCAUAUCGAUACCUUCCUAAACCUUAAAACUCCAAUUACCAAAACUUAGAAUCAAGUUCAAUGACCUUAGGUCAACUCGUGAAUUCAACUUCACAUCUGUCUCAUUUUAUUCAUGCGUCCUAGACAUGAAGUGUUCUUAGCCCUGUAGCACGGUGGCUAUUGGAGUUUACUUGAUCAAUGUUAUUCAUCUAUAUUUAAGGUUACUACACUAAUCAUUCUCAACCGUUUGGUUUCCCUUCAAGCUUACGUCACAAUUUCCAUAACCAUUUAUAUCCUCUUGUGCUUAUCACAUAUAAUAAGUAAAAUAGAUAUUUUCAAAUUCAUCUCAUCCUAUUCAAUCUAACCUGACUAACUUAACUCGAGGCCACGCAGUGUCAAUGUUGAUUUCUUAAUAUAACUUUAAAAUCGAAAACUUUAAAAUCCAAAGCUUUAAAAUCAAAAUCUUUGAUCUUUAAACCAUGCUCUGAUACCACUCAAAUUGUCACGACCCGAAACUCCCAUUGGGCCCGUGACAACCACCGCGACGUCUCGAUAAGCACUAAUUACCCCGAAUACCGAUUGACACCUCGGAAGGCUUAGCAUCAGCUUCUGUAUCUCCCCGGUGAGCGACAGUUAUUAAAUCUCACAUUUCAAGAAAAUCAUAAGUCGUUUCCAAAUCAAAACAAUAAAAUAUUUUUUUUGGCUCACAAGGGCAUUUUCAUCAUUUUUAUUCAAAAAUACCGAAACCCGCCAAAAACAUGGUGUAAAAGAUAAAUAUGUUCAUACAUACUUUAAAUCAGAUAACUGAAGUAUAAAAUUACUUUUACAGUGACACGUGGGCCCUCAAUUGACCAAGAAGGUGUAGGACUACAAACCCUUACUUUCUAGGAUGCAACUCCGAGAAUAAUUCUCGUCUUAAUCAACUGUCAACAAACUAUCCUAAGACUGAAAAAUGGAUAGGAAGAGGGGUGAAAUUAUGAUUACAUAAUCCCAAUGAGUAAACAUACACCAUCUAAACUAUCUAAAGGCGAGUAAAUGGAGACGAAUUAAAAUAUUCUUUUCCAAUAUAUGUUUCAUAACAUGAAUAUUCAGUUUACUCAAUUAAUCAGCAUGGCUUAUAUAUCUCACAAAACUUGGCUCCUGCCAAAAUCAUUCUCACGGAUACCUUCGUCAAGGUAUCCCACUGAGACCGCCAAGGCUGUUAAAUGUCUCAUACCCAUAAACAUAUUUUCGCAUUUGACACAUAGCCAUUCCUUGGCGUUGGCUGAGUCUCACUUUCACGCGGUGCUCCACAUGAAGUGCACUCAAAAAGCCCACCUCAGGAGAUACCCUACGCUCCUCUACGACCGAGGUGAGAAUAUAAAGGAGUUUACAAUGCCCCUCUAAUAGGCUGGUCGACGGAACCCCCACCACUGCAGUUACUAUGGAUUAUUUUAUCUACCACCUGAUUUAUAAAAUCCUUAUCUGCAUGACAUGGCAAUUUAUCGCAACCUAGCCUCUCAAGGCUGAAUACAUAGUAUAUAUAAUUUUGAUACAAAUACCGACUUUACCAUUCAUGCUCACAUAUUGCUAUAAGCCAUAUAAUUUAAAACACAGUUUAUAACACAAGCAGGUAGUCUCCAAUUACUCUAUUUUCAAAACCAGUAUUCAAUUUUCCAAAAAAUUUUUAAAAUCAUUUUAUAAAAUCACAAUUUCUCCUAAAACGUAGCAAUUUACCAUUUAAACCCAUUUUCUAUAAAAUCACACAAUUGUAUAAAACUACUCUAGAUAAUUAAGAUGAUAAUAAGUUUACUCACAAUAUUAUGAAUAGAAAUACUCCUAUUUUCAGUCAGCGAGUAUAGUCCUUUACUCGUAUCCAAUGGCUCACCACCUAGCCAUAAUCCAUGACACAUAUUCUAAUUAAAUUGUGUCUAACAGUCAUAAGCUAUUUUAGGCUUGAUAUAUAUGCAUGAUAUGAAAUGAAAAAUGCACGAGUAGCCAUCUAGACCCGGUAUUGGCCUAAGUCGAUUUUUCAUCCGAUAAAUUGGCCAAUGCCUCCAAUUUCACUCCAACUUGCUCCAUUUCUUUUCCAAUCCCUCAAUUCACCAAGCACAACUAAUUAACACACAAUUAGGCAAAAUUUAUCUUCGCUUUUCUUUUUGGAACUUUCGGCCAACAAUGGUACACUAACUCCGUGAUUUUUCCUACUUAAUUUUCUCUCCAUAAUUCAUUAAUUCCUACACCAAAAACUAUUAUUUCUUAAUCAAAUCACCUAGAAUAACAUCCCAUUCUUCCUCAUUAUUCACUUAGAGAAUUCGGCUAUUGAUGGGCACCAAACCUUUGGUGGUUUUCUUCACUUGUUUUCAUGCUACACAUCAUUAAUCACCUAAAAACACUAACAUACCUAAAAAUCAAACCAAUCCAAGAUCAUUCUCUCUCCAUACCCAUUUUGACCAGCCAUGAAUUCAUCAUGAAAACAUGUAAUUUAACCAUGGAAAUUAAGGGAAAAUGCAUGGGUAAGGUAAAUCACUAGCAAAAUCAAAGAAAUUUUACCUUUGCUUGAUCAAAUCCUUGAAUUCCAACCUUUUUUCUUUGAUUUUUCCCACCUAGGGUUUGUUCUUCCUUGGUUUCUCUUCUCUUUUGGUUUGGC
rnacentral:lncRNA from 1 species